rnacentral:rRNA from 1 species
GAUGAACGCUGGCGGCGUGCUUAACACAUGCAAGUCGAACGAAACACCUUAUUUGAUUUUCUUCAGAACUGAAGAUUUGGUGAUUGAGUGGCGGACGGGUGAGUAACGCGUGGGUAACCUGCCCUGUACAGGGGGAUAACAGUCAGAAAUGACUGCUAAUACCGCAUAAGACCACAGCACCGCAUGGUGCAGGGGUAAAAACUCCGGUGGUACAGGAUGGACCCGCGUCUGAUUAGCUGGUUGGUGAGGUAACGGCUCACCAAGGCGACGAUCAGUAGCCGGCUUGAGAGAGUGAACGGCCACAUUGGGACUGAGACACGGCCCAAACUCCUACGGGAGGCAGCAGUGGGGAAUAUUGCACAAUGGGGGAAACCCUGAUGCAGCGACGCCGCGUGAGUGAAGAAGUAUUUCGGUAUGUAAAGCUCUAUCAGCAGGGAAGAAAAUGACGGUACCUGACUAAGAAGCCCCGGCUAACUACGUG